ACAUGGCUCAGGAUGAACGCUGGCGGCGUGCUUAACACAUGCAAGUCGAACGAUGAUGCCAGCUUGCUGGUGGAUUAGUGGCGAACGGGUGAGUAACACGUGAGUAACCUGCCCUUGACUCUGGGAUAAGCCUGGGAAACUGGGUCUAAUACCGGAUAUGACUGAUCAUCGCAUGGUGGUUGGUGGAAAGCUUUUGUGGUUUUGGAUGGACUCGCGGCCUAUCAGCUUGUUGGUGGGGUAAUGGCCUACCAAGGCGACGACGGGUAGCCGGCCUGAGAGGGUGACCGGCCACACUGGGACUGAGACACGGCCCAGACUCCUACGGGAGGCAGCAGUGGGGAAUAUUGCACAAUGGGCGAAAGCCUGAUGCAGCGACGCCGCGUGAGGGAUGACGGCCUUCGGGUUGUAAACCUCUUUCAGUAGGGAAGAAGCGUAAGUGACGGUACCUGCAGAAGAAGCGCCGGCUAACUACGUGCCAGCAGCCGCGGUAAUACGUAGGGCGCAAGCGUUAUCCGGAAUUAUUGGGCGUAAAGAGCUCGUAGGCGGUUUGUCGCGUCUGCCGUGAAAGUCCGGGGCUCAACUCCGGAUCUGCGGUGGGUACGGGCAGACUAGAGUGAUGUAGGGGAGACUGGAAUUCCUGGUGUAGCGGUGAAAUGCGCAGAUAUCAGGAGGAACACCGAUGGCGAAGGCAGGUCUCUGGGCAUUAACUG
rnacentral:rRNA from 1 species